AUCACCACCAGAUGGCACCGUUGAGGCAAGGUCGGGAGGACUGGAGUGCUGACGUCACCGUCACACCGGUUCCCAAUCUGCUCGUCAGCGGGGCUUCAAGAGACACCGACUGCCAGCAUACUGACGCUUGAGGGUCAGCCAGUUAUGGUAGCUCUGAGUUCUCCUGAGAUCGAGUUUGUGUUUCCUAGUGGAAUUGAAAUAACGCUUUCUUGUUGUCUGGGUUCCUUUCAGAUGUUUCUGAGACUCCAAGUCUGGCUCUGACUUCGAGUUUCCUUGUGACGCCGUGGAUAAAUACCCAUUGAUGCCCAAGACCUAUACUCACCUUCCUCCGUUGAAAACCUGUUCAGUGUCUGAGAUUCCCAGCUGGCAGUCCGCUCACUCUCCGUGACGCAUUCAUGUCCGACUACCUGUCUGGACGGCCUCCACCUCCAGUUCUUACUUUAUUGAUGCCGCUAACCGGGGCUCUCUGUCUGGUGAGAUCCUCCUCCAAGACUCCAACCCAGAUCCUCAGCACCCAAGCCCUGGCUGCGUCGUUUCCCACAAGACGUUCCUGUAUGUUUUGGCCACCACGAGUUAUACGAGAACCUACCUUGAAUACCUGUUUGUAAAUAAAUCACUUUAACUGAU